GAUGAACGCUGGCGGCGUGCCUAAUACAUGCAAGUCGAACGAACAGACGAGGCUCUUGCUCCUCUGACGUUAGCGGCGCACGUGUGAGUAACACGUGUAUAACCUCCCUAUCUUACUGGUAUCACUUCGGGAAACCGGCUCAAAUCCGGGAUAAUAUAUUGCACCGCAUUGUUCAAUAGUGAGAGACGGUUUUGCUGUCACUUCUAGAUGCAUCCCGGCCGCAUUAGCUAGUUGGUAAGGUAACGGCUUAGCAAGGCAACGAUGCGUAGCCGAACGGAGAGGGGGAUCGGCGGCCUGGGAAGUUGGACGCGGUCCAGACUCCUACGGGACGCAGCAGUAGGCAAUCUUACGCAAUGGGCGAAAGCCUGACGGAGCAGGGCCACGCGAGUGAUGAAGGUCUUCGGAUCGUAAAACCCUGUUAUUAGUGAAAAACAAAUGUGGAAGUAACUAUGCACGGCUUGACGGUACUGAGUCAGAAAGCAACGGCUAACUACGUG
rnacentral:rRNA from 1 species